GUGAGUGCUGAGAGCUGAGAGCGAAUCGAACUUCGAUUCAACUUUUGUGAGUUUUUGAGAAUUUUUUUCUCUUUUCUUUUGGUGUGAGUGUGUUUAUGAGUUGUUUGUCUAUUAUUUAGUGUUAAGAGGGUUGUGGUUUGUUGAGUGUGUGAGUGUGUGAGUGCUUUGGUUUGGUGGGCGGCGUGCUAACAGCGCAAUGCCGGUAGCAGAGGCUGCAGCCGCCGAGUUUGAAAAGCUGACUCACCGGCAUGCGAUAAAGCUUAAUCCCGCGGUGCAGUGCUCGGUAGAGGAAGCCAGCCUGGCUGUAGGAGAGGUGGUCGGGUACGACUCAGUGAAGUCUGCCUCACGGAUGAACGGGGCCAUUGUGAUUUUUUUAAACAGUACGGUGCUGGUUAACGAGGUGGUGGAGAAAGGAGUAGUAAUUCACGACACCUUCACUCCGGUCUCCCCCCUCAUUAGCCCGGCCACGAAAGUUACCAUUUCUAAUGCUCCCCCGUUUAUUAAAAAUGAAACUCUAGCGAAAGAACUGUCCAGGUACGGACAAGUGGUGUCACCGAUUAAAAUGGUCUCUCUGGGCUGUAAAUCCCCCAAACUGAAGCACGUAGUGUGUCACAGGAGACAGGUAUACAUGAUCCCGAAAGACAACAGUAAUGAUCUAAACCUGUCGUUUUCUUUUAAAAUAGAAGGAUUCGUAUAUAUUGUGUUCGCUUCGUUCGCUGAGGCCGCUGGGGAAGAGUUGAGUGUUGCUGCUGUGACCGGGGUCACAGCAGUAGAAUCGGUCAGUCCUGCUCAGGAGGGGCCCUCCACAGUCUCGGUGCCUCCGGUUGCAGAGGGCUGCUCGGAGCGAGAAGAGCUCAUGCUCUCAGACUCGGCAGACGAGAGCACGAGCAAAGUGAUUAGUGAUGAUUUCAUGGAGGAAGGCAUGUCUGAUGACGAACUGCUUAAAGUGUCUCAAAAAAGGAAAAAUAUUGUGACUGUUAAAAAGAACAAAAAAAAGAGAAAACCGAUUAUGAGGAAGACCCCAGAGUCAGAGAGUGACUUCUCUUUUACCCAGGACUCUCAGUCGCCAUACUCCCCGGCUCAGAUAAAAACCUUCCUGGCACAGAUUAAAGGCUCCAGGCUGCCCAAUAUAAGAGAAUAUUUCCCAGACCUACGCUCUUUUAUGAGGUCAGCCAUACCCCUCACCAGGAAGAGCCAUGGGGAGGAGGUUUUAACAGAACAAGAGGUCUUCAGACUCAAAAAGGUUUUAGGGAGGGUAAAAGAGCAAUUCAUCAGUGAUGAGGAUGAGUUUUAGAUGCUUUUACCCUUCACUGACUGUUCUCCUGAGUGUUUUUUAUUUUUUAUCCAUGUGUGAUUUUAAUAUCAGCACCUUAAACCUGAACGGGGCCAGGGCUGAUUUUAAACGCGCCGCUCUUUUUAAAUUAAUGGAGACUAAAAAAAUAGAUAUCAUUUCUGUCCAAGAAACCCACAGCACCUUAGAUAACGAGAGUGAUUGGAAGAGGGCUUUUAACGGGGAGGUAGUUUUAAGCCACAAGUCCAGCCGAGCGGAGGGGUGGGGAUUUUAUUUGCACAGUUUUUUACCCUUUUCUUUUACCAUCCAUGAGAUCAUCCCAGGUGUUUUAUUGAAGGUAAAAGCUGUCUUUGAGAAUGUAAAAUGUGUGUUUUUAAAUGUCUACGCUCCUACCAAUGCUGUGGAGCGAAUAGCAUUUUUAAACAUUUUAAAGGACUGUGUUAGGGACUGUGAGAACGAUGGUUUUAUGUUUUUAGGGGGAGAUUUUAACUGCACAGUUGAUCCAUCCCUGGACAGGAACCAUCCUGAACCACACCCACCCUCAUCACACACACUCCGGCGGCUGACAGAGAGUCAGGAGCUGAGUGAUGUGUGGAGGGUUUUUAACAGUCAGCACAGACAGUUCACCUGGAGUCACAGUAGGGAGGGGGUUUUAACUCUAGCCAGACUGGACCGUUUUUACUGUUUUAAACACCAUUUAAACAUUUUUAAAAGGUGUUUUAUGCUGCCAGUUGGUUUUACGGAUCAUUUUUUAGUCUCCUGUCGUGUUUUUAUCAAAAACAUUCGUUUAAAGAGCGCCUAUUGGCAUUUUAACACAGCCCUUUUAUCUGACCAGGCUUUUAGAACUGCUUUUAGGGUUUUUUGGGAAUCCCACAGAGAGAGCAGGCCUGCCUUCACUAACAUACAACAGUGGUGGGAUUUUGGGAAAGCCCAGAUAAAACAGCUCAGCCAGCAGUUCACUCGCGGUGUCACUACAGACUUAGCUUGGUCCAUGAAAGACCUGGAGUCGCAGGUGGUAGAGCUGCAGACUACUGCAGACUCUACAGGAAAUCGAGGGCUUUUAGACUCCCUCAAGUCCAAAAAGUCGGCAUUAGCCAACCUGUUAGGCGUCUCAGCACAGGGGGCUCUGGUCAGGUCUCGUUUCAUGAACAUCACACAGAUGGACGCCCCAUCUCGCUUCUUCUUUGGGUUGGAGCGGAAAAAUGGACAAAGGAAGACCAUUCACUGUUUACGGACGGGUAGCAGCUCCGAAGUCUCAGACUCGUCUGAGAUCAGGAAGUUUGCUGCCAACUACUACAGAAACCUCUUUAAGAGUGAGUGGUCGCAUAAUCCAGAAGUGCACAGCAACUUCCUGGCGGGUCUCCCUCAGGUCAGCGAGGCUGACAACAGCAGACUGGCAGCAGAGGUGACGCUGCAGGAGCUCCACGCAGCCACCAUGAGCCUGCAGAGCGGCAGAGCUCCAGGCAUAGACGGCCUUCCUGCUGACUUUUACAAGUCUUUGUGGUCCAUCAUAGGACCAGACCUGCUAGAGGUCAUGACAGAAAGUCUGAGGACCGGCAGGCUACCUCUGAGCUGCAGGAGGACCGUCAUCACCCUGCUGCCCAAGAAGGGAGACCUGCAGGAGCUGAAAAACUGGAGACCAGUCUCCCUGCUGUGCACGGAUUAUAAAAUCCUGUCCAAGGCUUUGACCCUCAGACUGAGGGAGGUGAUGGCGUCCAUCAUCCACCCUGACCAGACCCACUGUGUGCCUGGCAGGCUCAUCAGUGACAACGUCACUUUAAUUCGAGACAUUUUGGAGCUCUCCAGGUCAUUGGGUAUAGAGACUGGUCUUAUUUCCAUAGAUCAGGAAAAGGCUUUUGACCGGGUUGAACAUCAGUACCUGUGGCAGACUCUGGCUGCCUUUGGGUUCAACCCUGGGUUCAUAGCCAUGGUCUGGGUUCUCUACAGUGACAUUGCGAGUGUUCUGAAAAUUAACGGCGGGCUGAGUGCACCAUUCGAGAUCCAGAGAGGGGUGAGGCAGGGCUGCUCUCUCUCUGGGAUGUUAUAUUCAGUUGCCAUCGAGCCUCUGCUUCACAAUCUGAGAGAGAAACUAAGUGGUGUGAGUUUCCCCCGGUGCCCUGUGUCUUUUAAAUUGUCCGUAUAUGCUGACGAUCUUAUUGUUUUAGUAAAAACACAAAGAGACAUUGACAUUUUAACUGACACUGUCCAUGACUUUGGUUUUAUCUCCUCAGCUAAGGUGAACUGGGGAAAAAGCGAGGCUCUGAUGGCUGGAGGGGAGCUGGGGGGCCGGCUCAGGCUGCCCGGGGGCCUACAGUGGAAAAAAGGAGGACUCCGGUACCUUGGGGUCUUCCUAGGAGAUGAGACCUACAUACAGAAAAACUGGGACAAUGUCCUAGAGCAGGUUAAAGGUCGGCUGGAGAAGUGGAAGUGGCUACUCCCAAAAAUGUCGUACAGAGGCCGAACCUUAAUCGCAAAUAAUCUGGUCUCAUCUUCCCUGUGGCACCGGCUGGCUUGUGUCGAUCCUCCAGCUUCUCUCCUUCCCAAGAUUCAGUCGUUUUUAGUUGAUUUUAUUUGGGACAGACUCCACUGGGUCCCACAGAGUGUCCUGUUUUUACCAAAAGAGGAAGGGGGCCAGGGCCUGGUCCACCUGGCCAGCAGGGGCGCAGCCUUCAGGCUCCAAUUCAUUCAAAGGCUGCUGAUGGGGCCGAAGGACACUCUGUGGAGGCCCCUGUCCCGCUGCAUUCUGCAGGGUUUUAACAGCCUGGGUCAGGAUUUUAAUUUGUUUUUAAUGAACACACAGAACAUGAGCACAUCUUCUCUGCCUGCUUUUUAUCAAAGUGUUUUUAAGGUCUGGGGACUGCUGAGGAAGGAGAGGAGGGGCCAGGUGGACUUGAUAUACUGGCUCCUGCAGGAACCGGUCCUGUGGGGGACCCGUCUGGACCUUCCCAGCUGGGCAGGACGGAGUCUACAGGAAAAACUGCAGACAGCGGGGAUCGUCACUCUGGGGCAGGUGGUGGAUCUGACGGGACCCCGAAUGGACGACCCCGCUGGACUCGCUGCCCGGCUGGGACUUUUAUCGAUGAGGGUCACCCAAAAACUCAUAGAGCACUGGAGACAGAGACUCACAGGACACGACCGCCUGCUUUUAAACUCCCCUUUUACCCAGACUGUGAACAAAGAAAACCCCUUUCCUGCCAUCUUCCUGGCACCGGAUUUUAAAGACUGUUCUGGCCCGCUGUUGGAUUUUAACCACCCCGCCCCUUUGGAGGGCACAACUGGGAAAACCUUUUAUAACAUCUUGGUGAAAACAAUAAACAGGAAAAAACUGAACCAAAGACCUGACACCCCAUGGAGGACCUAUCUGAGCCUGGCUCCUGAGGCCAGGCCUGAGUGGAGGGCCUUCUAUAAACCUCCACUCUCGAAGAAACAUGCGGAUGUACA